CGUCUCCAUGUGUGCGCAGGAAUGCACAUGUAGAUGAAGUUAUAACCUGCCACGCACACCUACCGCUGCGGCUGUUUCCUGAGAGACUGCGAGAGAGAAGAAAGGCAGGAGACAUCACAUGACCGAACCUUGGGAGGUUCAAUGCCUUGACCAGAGAAGGAAGCACAGUGGAUCAUAAAACUGGAACAUUACGUAGUCCACUGCUGGCAUGCAACACAGAUUUACGCACAAUAUAAAGGCUCUACGACUUUGAAAUCAGGAAUUGAACAUGCUGAUGGACACCUGUGUUUUCUCAUUUGCUCUUAAAAUUUUUUUUUGCACUUAAAUAAAUGAGUUGACCUGAUUGAAAAAAAGUACAAACUUACUGAAGAGCUCUGAAAGUUCUCAGUUACCUCUUGCACAGAUUAUUUCUCAGUCUCUCUAAAACACAGCUCUAGAAGCAUAACAGGUAUACCUUUCAGAAGAAUUUUCCUUCAGAAAAUCAGGAUCCUGUACCACUUCAGAGAGUGAGAAAGAACUUCAGGUUGGAAGAAGGACCACUUCCUCACUCCCACUGAAGAAGACCCUACAGUUAUUCUUUUCCUCUGCUUCUGCUCAUCAGCCUUGCUCUGCCAGCAGCAGAAUCACACAGUGCCAGCUGCAGUUACUAGAGGACAGUAACUUGAAAACAGCAUAAACAUUCAACCACCAGCAAACAUUAAAAGCCUUGUUGGUAUAUCUCAGCGUGGCUGUGGGCUGUAAAGCAACAGUCUUGUGUCAUUGGUAUAUCCAGCACAUACCACACAAUCCUUCUGACCGUCCUGUAAAAGAAGAGCAGACAAGAGUGACACAAUUUUACAGAGACCUCUGGACAACUGCCUCCCUGAGUAAUUGCCAGACGGACAAGGAGCUGGCAGGAACACUCUCCACAGAGAACCCUGCUUGCUUUCUCCAGAGCCAGUGCAUAUCUGAAUAAUAAUUUCUGGUUGCAGCAAUGACAUCCAGCCUGACGCAUUCUCUCCCUCCUUUUCAUUUCUGUUCAUUCCACCCUGGCCCACCAGUCAUAAUGUCUAUAUGCUUCCAUUCAUGAUGGCUAGCAGUGAUGGCAGUGCUGUUCCUCUUCCUAAAUCCAGCAGGUGGACCUGCCAAGGACCUCACAGCUUUUGGAGGAAAUAAAACUCAGCAGCAACACCCGUGCCUAGCUCAUCAUAUGAUCCCUUUAUGCCAAGCCUGCCAAUUUUCUGGCACCGUGGUAGAAGUGAAUCAAAAAACUAUUAGCUGUAACAGUGGCAGGGAAUCCACAGAUCCUAAAAAUAGUUCUGGGAUCCUUUAUGUCCAAACAGUCAGAUCUUUACCAUCAUCACCUCUUUAGAAAAGGCUUCAUGGCUUUUUACUAAGGCUUUUAAAUCUCUGUUAUUCCCUCCAGCAAUGUAGUUGGCACAACACUACUUUAUUGCUUGUGUGCCAGUCACAGUCCCUGAGAACAGUGUUUCCAAAGCCAUUUAAUCCUGGUGUCCAAAGCUAUCAUCUAAACUAAACAUCUUUAAAAACCAUAAGAUCUGGACAUCAGUAGCUGGCAUUUGCCUACCUAGUGACAAAGUGUUUUGAACACGGUGUUCCUUCAACAUCUUCUGUGCAUAAAUAAGUAGGAGUCCAGGAGUCAUAGAAAAGUCUCCCAUGUGAUUUCUGGAAAUAGAAAAUUGCACUGGAGAUUUCUGAGGAAAGUAAUAUUUCACUUUUAGUAUCUGAUUGGUAUAAAAAUCAAUCAUCUUAUUUUGUAAUUUAUGAAAAGCUGGCUCCAAAAGAAAUAUAAAGAAAUAAUAUAUAUUUUUGCAUAACAAAUUUCUGACCCUUCUUGAGUUCUACUUUACUGAUAUGACAAUUUUUAAAAAAUAUUCUAUCUAUUCCACAAUGUAGGCGAACCUGUUGAAUUAGAUUGCUGUUCCUGAGGUUUAUAAUUUAUAGAGCUCUAGCUGUUCUACAUCAUAGCUUCAUUUGCUACACCGAAUUAAUUAGUAAUUUUUAUGAUGUCUGGAUAUUAAUCCUAUGAAUAAAUCAUUAAUAGAAAAAUCGUUUAUUUUCUGCAUGUUUAUCAUCCUUUUGUUAGGUACUGAAAUCACAGAGAAUUGCUGUUGCAUUAGUUGGUGGUCUUUUGAUAUGAUUAGUUGGUGGUAUGUAUGAUAAAUUUGUAAAGUUAUUUUUCAUGUAAUAUAAAUACUGCAAAUACAUAUAAAUAUAUGUGUUA